ACUGGUCGAGUGAUUUUGCGCCGAAAAUGAACGGGGCUCAAGCGUAUAACCGAAACCAUGGCUUUAAAUAAUCUUCGGAUUAUUUAUUGGGUAGAGGAGCGUAGUGUCAUGCGAUGAAGGCGUACCGUAAGGAGCGCUGGAGUAGACACUAGUGAUAAUGUUGGUAUAAGUAGCGAAAACUACGGCGAGAAACCGUAGCGCCGAAAAUCCAAGGUUUCCUGGGGAAGGUUAAUCCGCCCAGGGUUAGUCGAUCCUAAGGCGAGGCCGAAAGGCGUAGUCGAUGGAUAUCCGGUUAAUAUUCCGGAACCGGUUAUGAACGUUAAUAGCUGCAGUGACGCAGGAGGAUAGGUGAGCGAAGUGUUGGAUGUCUUCGUCCAAGCCUGUAGCUCCAUAGAAAUAUGGGGUGAGGGGUGAUGGGGAGCCUGAGCUACGGCAAAGGUGAAGUCAUUGAUUCCAUGCUGCCAAGAAAAGCCUGUUAGUGAGUAUCAUAACUGCUCGUACCGUAAUCCGACACAGGUAGAUACCCAGAAUAUGGGAAGGCGCUCGAGAUAACUCUCCUUAAGGAACUAGGCAAAAUUGCCCCGUAACUUCGGGAGAUGGGGUGCCUUUGGAGUGAAAUCCUUUACGGACGUAGCUUUGAAGGUCACAGUAAAGAGGCCCGGCCGACUGUUUAGUAAAAACACAGCACUCUGCGAAGUCGUAAGACAAUGUAUAGGGUGUGACACCUGCCCGGUGCUGGAAGGUUAAGGGGAAAGGUUAUCCUUUUUUGGAGAAGCUUUGAACUGAAGCCCCAGUAAACGGCGGCCGUAACUAUAACGGUCCUAAGGUAGCGAAAUUCCUUGUGGGGUAAGUUCCCACGCGCACGAAUGGUGUAACGAGUUGGGCGCUGUCUCAAGGAGCGACACGGCGAAAUUGUAGUGGCGGUGAAGAUGCCGCCUACCCGCACCAAGACGAAAAGACCCCGGAACCUUUACUGUAAUCUGGUAUUGAGUUUGGAUCCUAUUUGUGUAGAAUAGGGGGGAGGCUAUGAAGGUGUGGCGUCAGCUGCGCUGGAGCCAAUAGUGAAAUACCACCCUAAUAGCAUUUAGAUUCUAAUCUUGUCCUUUGAAUCAAGGCGAAAAACAGUGCCAGAUGGGCAGUUUGACUGGGGCGGUUCCUUUCUAAAAAGUAACGAAAGGGUCCAAAGGUUCCCUCAAGACGGUUGGCAAUCGUCUUUAGAGUGCAAAGGCAUAAGGGAGCUUAACUGCGAAUCCGACAGGACGAGCAGAUACGAAAGUAGGGCUAAGUGAUCCGGCGGUAGAUUAUGGGAUUGCCGUCGCUCAACGGACAAUAGGUACUCCGGGGAUAACAGGCUGAUAGCGCUCGAGAGUUCAUAUCGACAGCGCUGUUUGGCACCUCGAUGUCGGCUCACCCUAUCCUGGGGCUGAACAAGGUCCCAAGGGUCCGGCUGUUCGCCGGUUACAAGGGUACGCGAGCUGGGUUUAGAACGUCGUGAGACAGUUCGGUCUCUAUCUGGUGUGGGCGCUCGAUACUUGAAGGGGAUAUCUUCUCAGUACGAGAGGACCGGAAGAUACAGACCUCUGGUGUUCCAGUUAUCCUGCCAAGGGUAAUGGC
rnacentral:rRNA from 1 species